rnacentral:rRNA from 1 species
UCAGUACACGUAGUCAACAUCCAGGGACGUGAUAACCUCGGGAAACUGAGGAUAAACCGCGAUAGGCAUGAUUUCUGGAAUGGUUCAUGGCCGAAAUCUAUAUGGCCCCUGGAUUGGACUGCGGCCGAUCAGGCUGUUGGUGAGGUAAUGGCCCACCAAACCUGUAACCGGUACGGGCUCUGAGAGGAGGAGCCCGGAGAUGGGCACUGAGACAAGGGCCCAGGCCCUAUGGGGGCGCAGCAGGCGCGAAAAUCUCUGCAAUAGGCGAAAGCUUGACCAGGGGGUUUACUCUGAGUUGAUUCCCGCUAAAGGGGAAUCUUUUUUGGCACCCUUUAAAAAUGGUUGCAGAAUAAGGGGUGGGCAAGUCUGGUGCCAGC